CAAAAUAUAGCUUAUCAAAAGCCUCUUGCUUACACCAAGAAGAUGUCCUCUAAUCAGAACUAUUUUGAAA
rnacentral:tRNA from 1 species